UUGUGCUGCCAGCCAAACCUGAGACAGACGCGAAUGCCAAUUUCGUCGGCAAUGGAUUUAUGGUGGCGGAAGAAUAUUUGGUGGUGUUUGCGUGUGUGUAAACGCUGUUUCUUCCUCGUCCGCUUGUCUUGUUGAUGGAAGGUUCAAGGUUGAAAAAUACUAGAAGAGAUCGAGAAACGAGAGAGGAGAAGGAGGUGACUCAGAAGCUGACGCUGCGAAAUCUUCUUUUUCCGCGUCAGAACUUGUGUUUGCCACAGUUUCGCUCUCCAUGCUCUUCGGAGUUUUGAACUUCCUCAGCGGAGGCUUGCUGCAGAGAUGCUGGAAGUACACACCACAGUAGUGCAUGGCCAGGGGGACAGCAGGAAGGAUGAAGCGAAACUCCUUGUGAGGGAGGAAACUGUGAAAGAACAAAAUAUAAUGAUAAAAACAAUAGACAUAAAAUAAGUUCAGUAUUACCAUGAUUAUUAUGUAUGGACUCCAAGUUUACCUCAGUCUCCAAUAAUAAUGCAGUGAAAUUCAAAAAUGUAAUAUUCCUUCAUUAUGUUGUUGUUAUCGCAACAGAAAUGAGUAACAAAGAAUACAUUUCUCAGUAAGCCUCAAUCCAAUUAUGAAAAAACUUGCCCGUCCCACUGAUUUAGCUAAGUGCGUGCUAGACCGUAUGAUUUAAGAAUGAUGAAUAAGAAAAAAAUCCAGACAUAAGAAGCUUUCCCUGACAUUGAUUGUGCUGCUGUUGUUUACUCUUCAUUUUUGUCUGAAGCACAAAACAGAACCUUGAUUCUCACCAAUCAAUGUCGAUAUUUCUAAUAGAAUGACUUGAUGGAAACAUCAGCAAAAAUUAAUUUUGUACUGCUCUGAGUCUAAGAAAUAGUGUUCGUUUUCUUUGAACAUGUUAUUGAAUUAUCACUGUUGCAAGUAAAACGGUCAACUCAGAGUGCUGUGAGCAACUGUGUACUGAUACUGACAAAACGCCUUUUUUUUAUUUACAGCAGUUUCGAGAUAAAGAGACUUUUUCUCAGCAUAACCAUUCAAAAAAGGCAUUAUUGUGAAAUUUGAUUUUCAAAUUUAUUCACAAACUAGUCACAGUUUCACUUUGAUUUUUUUUCUCACAAGUAGGGUAAUUGAUCAGGCUUUUGAUUUAUCAAAUAAAAAAUUU